UGUCUGUCUGUCUGUCUGUCUCUCUGUCUGUCUGUCUGCCCUCAGUCCACCCCCCCUCUGUACCAGGUCGAGAACAUGAAGGUUCCCACCGCUCUGUUCUCAGGGGGACAGGAUACGCUGGCAGACCCCAAAGAUGUCGCUGUCCUCCUCACUCAGGUGUCUAACCUGGUCUACUAUCAGCACAUUGAACACUGGGAACAUUUGGAUUUCAUUUGGGGUCUGGACGCUCCAGAAGUGAUGUUUCCCUCCAUCCUGAAACUGCUGCAGCAACAUUAGUGUGUGUGUGUGUGUGUGUGUGUGUGUGUGUGUGUGUUAUGAUGUACCUGUACUGAUACUCAACAGGUGGAUCAGCGUUUUUUUAAAAGCGUGUAUUAACAUCACGCUAACAUGCUGUUUACAGAGGCGGUGUGUGUGAGGUUGUUGACUCAUAAACAAACAUUUUAAACUUUAAUCAUUUAAAAUAACUGUGAUUCUGUGAUUUUAUUUUGUGAACCUGCGAGCUGCCUCAGCCACACAAACUCAUAUUUGUGGAACUCUUAUUGUGAAAAUCUGUAGCCAAUCCAAUCACAUGCCUUGAAUUGUGGUGGGCGGGGCUAAUCCUUUAAAGUUAUCUACAUCAUAUUUUAAUCUGUUUGUAUUUCUGAUGAACCAGAUUUCAUUAAACAAUGAAUCUCAUCAUAAACAAAA